UUCGCAAUGCCCGAAAGGGUGACGAAGCGACGCCGCGUGUGGGAAGAAGGCCUUCGGGUUGUAAACCACUGUCGGGAGUUAGGAAAUGUAGGGGUGUGAAUAGCGCCCCUGCUUGACUACAGUUCCAGAGGAAGCCACGGCUAACUCUGUGCCAGCAGCCGCGGUAAUACAGAGGUGGCCAGCGUUGUUCGGAAUCAUUGGGCGUAAAGGGCGCGUAGGCGGCCCUGCAAGUCGGGUGUGAAAGCCCCUGGCUUAACCAGGGAACUGCAUUCGAUACUACAGGGCUUGAGGGCAGGAGGGGAGAGUGGAACUUCUGGUGGAGCGGUGAAAUGCGUAGAUAUCAGAAGGAACGCCGGCGGCGAAAGCGGCUCUCUGGUCUGUAACUGACGCUGAGUGUGCGAAAGCUAGGGGAGCAAACGGGAUUAGAUACCCCGGUAGUCCUAGCCGUAAACGAUGGGCACUAA
rnacentral:rRNA from 1 species